UAGCUCCAGAAUCAAACAACACUCUAGCUUUAAUCUUAUCAAAGAGGAGCAUACCUGUCACAGCUGCAUUCAAUGCCUAUGCCUCUUGUGGAUUUACCGUAAACACCCUUCCUUGCCCUCUGCCUGUUGGAGCUAAUGACUGAGAUGGUCCGGCACUCUGCUGUGACGCUGGUGUCUGACCUCUGCCUCUGCCUACAGGCCCCCUACUACUAGGCCUGUCCAUCUGCACAGAAGGGUAGGAUGUUAAAGGCACAAACUGCUGGGUGGCACCCUGCGGGCAUUCUCUGACAAAAUGACCCGGUUGUCCACAUCUAUAGCACACUCCCUGACCCAUUCUGCAUCUGCCAGGGUGCUGCUUCCCACAUAUGCCACACACUGGCCAUGAUUGGAACUUGGAUUCAGUUCUGGCCAUAGUGACCGGAGGACGAGGUGCUGAUGGUAGAGAAGC
rnacentral:lncRNA from 1 species